GUGAAUCAUCGAAUCUUUGAACGCACAUUGCGCCCGCCAGUAUUCUGGCGGGCAUGCCUGUCUGAGCGUCAUUUCAACCCUCAUACCCCUAGGGUGUGGUGUUGGGGAUCGGCCAAGGCCCGCAAGGGACGGCCGGCCCCUAAAUCUAGUGGCGGACCCGUCGUGGCCUCCUCUGCGAAGUAGUAAUAUUCCGCAUCGGAGAAGCGACGAGCCCCUGCCGUUAAACCCCCAACUUUCUAAGGUUGACCUCAGAUCAGGUAGGAAUACCCGCUGAACUUAAGCAUAUCAAUAAGCGGAGGA
rnacentral:misc_RNA from 1 species